rnacentral:lncRNA from 1 species
GAAACACAGCAAACCGUCUUGGUUUUAGUGUGACAAAUGCAAAUGUUGAGCAAAUUCCAGGACUCAACACCCUUGGCAUAUCAGCAGUCCGUAUUGACUAUGCACCAUACGGCCAAAACCCACCUCACACGCACCCUCGGGCCACUGAGAUCCUGGUGGUCCUGGAGGGAACACUUUAUGUUGGUUUUGUGACAUCAAACCAGCUGAAUAACACACUCAUUGCAAAAGUUCUGAACAAGGGAGAUGUUUUUGUGUUUCCGAUUGGCAUGAUUCACUUCCAAUUCAACAUCGGAAAAACAAAUGCAGUUGCAAUUGCUGCUCUAAGCAGCCAGUUCCCUGGUGUCAUUACCAUAGCAAACACGGUCUUCGGAGCCAAUCCUCCAAUCAAUCCUGAUUUUCUUGCCAAGGCGUUCCAGUUGGAUGUGAAUGUGGUGAAAGAACUUGAGGCUAAGUUCUGAUUAAAUGUGUCACUUAUUUGAAUAACAUAUUGCCAUUUAUGUUUCAGCUUGUUCUCAUUAUUGUCCUUGUUAGUUUUGAUAUGAUAAAAAGAUUCGUACGAACGUUCCUAUCUCGAGUCAGCUUUGCUUGUUUUUCCAAACUUAUUAAAUAUUAAAAUAAUGAAUAUCAAUUUCUUUUUGGUGAGAGUCGUUAGCAAUUGAUAUUGUAAUAAAUAAUCAAUAUCUCUAACAAAUCUGAACUACUCCAGUAGUAGUUAGGUAUUAUUAUUAUUUUUGUUGGAAGACUAAAUUUGGUUCCUUCUGAGUGUUUUUGUCUUUUAAUAUAUUUUUAUAAAUCUAAAAAAAAAGGGGGCGUGGGGCCGCGGGGCCGCUAUGGGAGAAUUUUAAAUCGUACUCUUUACUUCUUGAAAAUUAAAACUCAAGUGGCCAACUAAUAAAAAAGACUGCUUGAAAAUAAUCCAACCCUUUGGGGUUAUCAUAAUUCCUUUCAUUUAUGUUCAUUAAAAAUCUAGAUUAUAUCAUUGUUAUAUAUUUUAAAAAUUUCAGAUAUUGUUUUAUUUUCAUUUUUCUAUUUUCCACGGAAGAAAAGGGUUUUCAUUAGGAAACUAUUACUAUAACGUAACGAAAAUUAUUAUAUAAAGGUAUUUGAAAAAAAUAUAAUAAAGGAUGAGAAACAUAAUGAUCCUCACCACUCAUUGUAGUUUUGUUCAAUUGGAAAGAAUAUGUAUAGGAAUUUAUAUCUGUGGAUUAGGUUCUUUCUCGUAGAAAAUUUUGCAGCACGUAACCUCUUUAUAAAGAAUUAGUCUUUGUUUUUUUAAUUAAGACUCUAAUCCAUCCAAUGGCUUGACUGUAAACCACCUCCCUUCCGACCCAUUUAGGUAACUGUUGGAGUCUUUUAGUGUGACUUGUGUGGUUCAUCUAAUUCCAAAUAUUUAGAAGUAGCAGAGAAGAUCUUUUGAUCAGUUUAAAUAGCACCUAACACUCAGAAAAAAUAAUAAUGAUAAUAAUUGAUGACAUAUUACUUAAAGAUACAACCUUAAGGCAGCUAAACAAGAAAAUUGCGCAAAGUAAGUUCACCAGAAAUUCUUUUGGGCCUGUGAGGACCCAGUCUCAAAAUAUUUACGCCCCUGCAUAAAACGUAAUGAAAAACAUAAAGAAAUUAAAAUGAACUUGAAGUUGGAGUUUGUCAAUGAAAUUUUCAGAUAUUAUAAUAAUAGAGAAAAAGAUUCCCGUGACUUCAGUAACUCAAAAAUAUGUUGAUGUCAUGUAAGCAUGUGAAGAAGAAAAUGUACUGAAACGACAAGUUGCCUUAGUUGUUUUAGAACCAGUACUAAUGGAUUGAGUUUAAUUAAAGUCACAGACAAACAAUUGAAGACUUGGCAAGUUUUCAUCUACUCCGAUAUAAAUAGAGUUGCUUACCUUGCAACAUCUCUCACCUCUCACUAAACCAAUAAUAAUAAGUUCAGAAAUUGAUUAAACAGAGUGAGAUCCUACAGCUAGCUAGCUAGCUAAUUAAACACACAAUGAAAACCAGUGUUCAAUUUCUUAAAGGUUUUGCUCUCUUGGUUUUAGCUUCUUCGUUGGCCUCUGCCUUUGAUCCUAGUCCUCUUCAGGAUAUCUGUGUAGCCAUCGAUGAGCCCAAGAACGCAGGCAUAUAUAUAUAACAUAGAAAAACUUUAAUUUAAUUUCUCAUUUUCUGUGUCUUAAGCUUGUAUGUUUUUGGCGUCAAAUUCACCUUAUGAAUUAAAUAUUCUUAAUUCUUCUGUGCAGUUUUUGUUAACGGGAAGUUCUGCAAGGACCCCAAGCUUGCUAAAGCUCAAGAUUUCUUCUUAUCAGGGCUAGACAAGCCUGGAAACACAGCAAACCGUCUUGGUUUUAGUGUGACAAAUGCAAAUGUUGAGCAAAUUCCAGGACUCAACACCCUUGGCAUAUCAGCAGUCCGUAUUGACUAUGCACCAUACGGCCAAAACCCACCUCACACGCACCCUCGGGCCACUGAGAUCCUGGUGGUCCUGGAGGGAACACUUUAUGUUGGUUUUGUGACAUCAAACCAGCUGAAUAACACACUCAUUGCAAAAGUUCUGAACAAGGGAGAUGUUUUUGUGUUUCCGAU